AGUGUUCUGUGUCUACCAUAAUGCAUAUCGUUAGUUAACAAGCUGAAUGAGUAAAAUGUAGCAAUAAUGAAAAUCUUAAAGAUAUGAUGAAUCAUGUUAAAAUUAUGCCCCUUUUUGACAACCAUUAAAACAAAACUUUUUUCUCAAACUCAUUUACAACCACACAUUCUCACAAUAAAAUAUUCACAUAAACCCAAAACUUUUUCCUACUUUCAAAAAAUUACUAUUCAAAAACUCAUUUUCCCUAAAAAUUCUUUUUAAUGGUUGUCAAACAGGGACUAUGUUGGAAAGUUGAAAGCUAAAUGGAAGAAACAGACUAGAUAAGUUUUUGACAAUUACUAAGAAUAUAAUCAUUACAACUGUGAAAUGAGAAUCUAUCAGUCAAUCCAGUUUACUUAACUGAGUUCAUGACAGUAUAUAUCUCAUAUAUCCAGGAACAGUUCCACCUCAAAAAGAAGUGAUAUGCAUAUCAAUUUCUUCAAUAAAAGAGAGAGACCGUAGAUACACAUGAAAUUUCUAUUUUAAGAAGGCGGAAAUUUAUAUUUUGACUCAAAAGAUAUACUUUAACAUGAUUUCCUGAUCAUAUAUUGAAAAAGUUCGCUUAAUUGCUUCAACCAUCGAUGAGGACUCAGUCAAUCAGUUAAAUGACUUUAGGCCAUUUGAUGAUAAAUUUGACAAGUCCAACUGCAACCAGAAAUGUUGUGGACUAUAUCAAUCACUUCCAUAAAAUAAAAAAAGAACUCUUCAACCUGAAUUAUUAGGAAGUUAUCUCUAUCCAUUGCAGUGAGGGGAGAAAUUUCAAAUCUGACAAGAAGAAUGGCAUUUGCUUUUGGGGGACAUUCUUGAUAGACAACUGAUGCACUAUAUGGACACCAAUGAUAUUUAUAAGCUCAACUCAAGUUACAAGUCAUGCAAGAAAAUAUAAAUAUAAAUAUAAAACCAUGGAACUUAAUUGAAACUGACAGUGUUGAUAUACUCCUUAUUAAAAAAAGGACAUGCUUAUUUCAAAAGCCUCUUGGAUAUGUUACUCUCUUGAAGACAUGCUGUGGGCUUGCUUGUUUGAUUAAUUCAAAUAUCCAUAGUAAGAGAUGUUGGUUGAAAAACAAACUUCUCUCUAGCAAGAUUCGUUGGCAUGAAUGAACGCAUAUUUUGGAAACAAUUGGUUUGAUAGCUAUUAUCUACAGUUCUCUUUCAG
rnacentral:lncRNA from 1 species